UACGUAGGGGCCUAGCGUUGUCCGGAUUUAUUGGGCGUAAAGAGCUCGUAGGCGGUUUGGUGAGUCGGGUGUGAAAUCUCCACGCUCAACGUGGAGGAGCCACCCGAUACUGCCAUGACUAGAGUCCGGUAGGGGAGUGUGGAAUUCCCGGUGUAGCGGUGAAAUGCGCAGAUAUCGGGAGGAACACCGGUGGCGAAGGCGGGUCUCUGGGCCGGAACUGACGCUAAGGAGCGAAAGCGUGGGGAGCGAACAGG
rnacentral:rRNA from 1 species